rnacentral:rRNA from 1 species
UUGCAUUAAGCCGCGGAAACUGUGGAGCUUGAGGCUGGGAGGGGCUGGUGGAAUUCCCUGUGUAGCGGUGAAAUGCGUAGAGAUGGGGGAGAACACUCGUGGCGAAGGCGGCCAGCUGGACCAGUUCUAACGCUGAGACGCGAAAGCGUGGGGAGCAAACAGGAUUAGAUACCCUGGUAGUCCACGCCGUAAACGAUGGGCACUAGGUGUCGGCGGUUCUUAAUCCGUCGGUGCCGGCGUUAACGCAGUAAGUGCCCCGCCUGGGGAGUACGGUCGCAAGGCUGAAACUCAAACGAAUUGACGGGGGCCCGCACAAGCGGUGGAGCAUGUGGUUUAAUUCGACGCAACGCGAAGAACCUUACCUAGGUUUGACAUGGACCAGAUCGCCGGUGAAAGUUGGUUUCCCUUCGGGGCUGGUUCACAGGUGCUGCAUGACUGUCGUCAGCUCGUGUCGUGAGAUGUUGGGUAAGU